rnacentral:tRNA from 1 species
ACCUUGUUAGUUUAUGUUUAAUAAAAUAUGACUCUGAAGAAGUUAAGAAAUUUUGAGGUG